GAUGAACGCUGGCGGCGUGCCUAAUACAUGCAAGUCGAGCGGACGGACGAGAAGCUUGCUGCUCUGAUGUUAGCCGCGGACGGGUGUGUAACACGUGUAUAACCUACCUAUAUUUCUGGUAUAACUUCGGGAAACCGGCUCUUAUCCCGUAUAAUCUUUUGCACCACAUGGUUCAAUAGUAAAAGACGGUCUUUCUGUCUCUUAUAGAUGCUUCCGCGCUUCAUUAGCUAGUUGGUAAGGUAACGGCCUACCAAGGCAACGAUGCAUAGCCGACGUGAGAGGGUGAUCGGCCACACUGGAACUGGGCCACGGACCAGACUACUAAGGGAGGCAGCAGAAGGGUAUCUUACGCAAUGGGGGAAAGUAUGACGGAGCAACGCGGCGUGAGAGAUGAAGAUGUUGGGAGCGUAAAACUCUGUUAUUAGGGAAGAACCUCUGUGGAAGUAAACGAGGAGAGAUUGACGGUACCUAAUAAGAAAGCAACGGCUAACUACGUG
rnacentral:rRNA from 1 species